AAGAUAUUUAACCUUCCUUGGACUGUACGCAUGAAAAACUUGUGUUAGACAGUUACCAGCCUCACAGUGAUCUGACUCGUUUUUCUGUUUAAAACAUUCUGAAACUUCUAUGGAGACUUAUCUGAUGCCACCUAUAUAUAAUGACCUAGAUUUUAAAAACAGUUGGGAAGCAGACGUCUGGAAAUCUGCUGUGAAUUUUAACAUUUUCCAUACAAAGAUCGAGUGUUAACCUGCAGUUUGUUUUCCCAUUAGGAAAGACUGAAAUGCUUUCAGGACUUCUCAGCUGUAUAAUGAGGAUCAUCUUGUUUGGGAUAUAACCACGGAGUAACAACAGGGUCAUGCUUUCUCUGUCGGAUUCCUGUCUCAAAGGAGAUCCAGAAUCAAAUAACACCCUCAAUUUGCAGUGGAAUGGAAACACUGAAGUAUGUGAGUUUCAAAGCAGAUUGUAGUACUACCUGGCACAUGGUAGGAGCUGGACUAAGAAGGCAGAGAUACGGAAUGAAAAUACCCUUGGCUGCACAGUCUCCCCUCCAUGUUUUGAAGAAGCCACGUAGCUAUCACAAUGGAUUAAGACAUCCUACAUUAAAAACCUGUGUCACUUCUGCAACUGUGUGCAUUUAUGCAACAAGACAUCAGUAGCUAAUGGGUCCAUCUAAGACAUUAAGUUGAAUGGACACUUUUUUUCAUAGCGGUGGUAAUUAUGAAUACUCUGAGAAAGGCUUCUUUGCCAAUUGUAUCCCAAGAAAAUCAAAUAGUGUUCUCUUGCAAAAAAAAUUUAAAUAAAUAAAAAAGCUUGGCAAAUCUUCAGCCAUCUUAUUCCAUUACAUACCAUUAAGAAAAACAGUGGCUUGUUUAUUCACUGGAAGUUAAAUAUGUGUACAGUAGAUCUUUUGAAAGUCCCUAAAUACUGCUUUAGCCUGCUGUGUGUCAAAUGCAUGGCCUCAAGCAAAGUGCUUUUCUAAAAGGUUACUUUUCUGUCUAUCUGCUGUGGACAACCCAUAGCACUAAUAGGUAAAUAAUCAAAGAAAUGCGAUGAUCUUGAAUUCUUUCAAAUAGAAUUACCACAGCCACCUUUCCUUUCUGAACUCAGACACAGCAGAGUUGUGGGGAUAUCCAUCCAUCCAUAAGGAAAGAGUUUGUUUUGGUCAGCAUCCCCCCAAAAAAUCAGGAUAAAACUCUCAAACUUUUUACAGAACUCUUGUUUUCUGGGAAAGAAUAUCAGUGGUGUAGAAGUAUAUUCACAAUAAACACCUUCUGCUGUUACCAAACACAUCAGCUUGCACUUGGUCUUUAGUUAUGCCUUAAACCAUUUAUUUACUGUCUAGUCAUGAUUCACGUAACUAUAUAUUGC
ensembl:lncRNA